rnacentral:misc_RNA from 1 species
GAUGAAGAACGCAGCGAAAUGCGAUACGUAAUGUGAAUUGCAGAAUUCAGUGAAUCAUCGAGUCUUUGAACGCACAUUGCGCCCCCUGGUAUUCCGGGGGGCAUGCCUGUCCGAGCGUCAUUGCUGCCCUCAAGCACGGCUUGUGUGUUGGGCCUCCGUCCUCCUCCCGGGGGACGGGCCCGAAAGGCAGCGGCGGCACCGCGUCCGGUCCUAGAGCGUAUGGGGCUUCGUCACCCGCUCUUGUAGGCCCGGCCGGCGCUUGCCGACACAUCAAUCUUUUUUCCAGGUUGACCUCGGAUCAGGUAGGGAUACCCGCUGAACUUAAGCAUAUCAAUAAGCGGAGGA